UACAGGGGGGGCAAGCGUUGUUCGGAAUUACUGGGCGUAAAGGGCUCGUAGGUGGCCAACUAAGUCAGACGUGAAAUCCCUCAGCUUAACUGGGGAACUGCGUCUGAUACUGGAUGGCUUGAGUUUGGGAGAGGGAUGCGGAAUUCCAGGUGUAGCGGUGAAAUGCGUAGAUAUCUGGAGGAGCACCGGUGGCGAAGGCGGCAUCCUGGACCAACACUGACACUGAGGAGCGAAAGCCAGGGGAGCAAACGGG
rnacentral:rRNA from 1 species